rnacentral:lncRNA from 1 species
CAGACCUUCAAAUGCUGUAACUGAGCUGUAAUCAGUGCUGGCAUAGUAAUUUGGUGUUCCCCUUAAUAAGAGUAGACCGUACUGUAUAUCUUGAUUUCUAUGUAUCUAAGUUAUUGAUAACUUGCUACAUUCUUGUUGUGUAAUGCAAUGCUAGGAGACUCGCGAGCAUGCGCAGCACUGUAUUUUCUUGCCCAAAAUUUGUAAACAUUAAAUUUUGUGAACCAUUUUCUGAUAUUCGAUACAAUACUCAGCUCCUUUUUUUUUUUUCAUUUGAUUAGAUAUUUGAUUCGAAAUC